UUGCAAAGCACUCUGAAAAGAGGGUGAAAAGAACCUGAAACCGUUAUGUUGAGAGCGUAUUGCAGCAGAGUGAAGGGUGCGUUUUGUUCAGCUUGCGCUUGCGUAGGUGUACUCAGGACGUUAUCCGCCAGUCGUGAGCUUCCGGUGGCUUAUUUUUAAGUUGCUGGGGGUGGAGGGCUCCCUUCGGGUGAGGACGAAUUCUGGAUAAUGCUGCGAUUCGACCCGUCUUGAAACACGGACCAAGAAGUCUAGCGUACAUGCGAGUCAAAGGGUGUAAAAACCUGUGGGCGCAGUGAAAGCAAUUCUUAAAACGUUGCAGUUUGAGGCGGCAUACGAUCGUUGAUUGUAGGUCCGACCUAGAGCAUGUAUGCUAGGACCCGAAAGAUGGUGAACUAUGCUUGAGUAGGGUGAAGCCAGGAGAAAUCCUGGUGGAAGCUCGUAGCGGUGCUGACGUGCAAAUCGCUCGUCUAACUUGAGUAUAGGGGCGAAAGACUAAUCGAACCAUCUGGUAGCUGGUUUCCUCCGAAGUUUCUCUCAGGAUAGCGGACCGAUAUGAUGUUGUUGUGUGC
rnacentral:rRNA from 1 species